AAGUCGUAACAAGGUUUCCGUAGGUGAACCUGCGGAAGGAUCAUUAACACGUUCCAAAACGUAUCAACCAAACGGUUAAGUGCAAACUUAUUCCCUCAUACAGGGAGCUGUUCAUCUGAAUCUAGUGAUGGGUAAGUCUUCGGGCUUACAGAAGCAGAUGAGCUAGGGUCUCGAGCCCAAAGUUCCUUAUGUGAGGCUUUCCUUUUUUUUCCCAUCACUUCCAAUUCACCAUUUUCACCCCUUUAAACCAUUUGACUAAAUCUUUCGAACGAAGAAAUUUGUUUGGAAUUGUAUAUCUAACACUGUACAACUCUUAGCAAUGGAUAUCUUGGUUCUC
rnacentral:misc_RNA from 1 species